CGGGUGGGAGGCCCUCAGGACCGCCCUGAGAGGCGCAGGCUUCAGGCUCGGACCCCCAGGAACUUGCCCUCUAGUGGGCUAAAUAGGAAGGUGUGUCUACGAAAAUAAAGACCGGCGAGCGUGCGCACGGUGCCCGGCUGUACUAGGAGGGGAGAGCAGGGCCGCGGUGAGUGCAUUCAGUGCUAGGCCUGGCUGGGUCUGGGGCAGCGACAGGCGUUGGCCAAGAGUUCUGGGCUGAGGCACCAGGUCCUACCGAGGCGUGGAGACCCAGCAGAACGCGGGGCUCUAGGAAACGCUGGGCUCGCGAGGCGAGAAGCUGCGGGGAGAGGAACGUGAAAGGAAGAGCUCCUGGGUGCUUUGUUAAGAAGUCUGGAUUUGACCCCGAAAUGAGGUGCAUCAUAAGAUUUGAGCAGGGACGGACGGCAUGGUCCUAUUCGGCUUUUUGAUACCGCUCUGAUGGCUGUAGACGAGAGCUGACCCCGGGGCAAGGCUGAUGCGGUCACCUGGAAUAGACAGAAUCCAAGGCCAGGAUUCCCACCUGUGGACUAUGUGCAACGCAGCUGCAGCUCGGGGACUGGAAAGCCACACAGAGGGGCUGAGGGGUCCAGGAGAGGCUGCCGGCCCCUUUGGAUCUGGGGUUCUCAGGGGACAUUCCCAGGAACACCCAUGGCUGGCCACUUGUCUGGAGAUGACUUGGGCAGCGGCCCCAGUUUGGACCUGCUGCUGGGGCUACCCAGAGCAUGCGUUUUCAAGGAUGCCUACCUAUAGGACGUCUAUUUCAGACAAAAAACAUGAUCGUAACGUGUUCUCAAAGCUAAAUAAUCUGAUUUUUAUCCCUCCACAGUUUUCUUUAGAAAGCCUUUAUAGUUGUAUUAUUAAGAAAAUUUACAAAGGAAAUGUUACAUUUAUGAGUGAUGCAUAUGUUUGCUUGUAUUUUAUUUUUAAAAAUUUUGAAAGUACCUUUGAUCAUCACGAGAAAGUAAAAAGGCCAGCAAUUUGAGACAAUUUUCUCACAGUCUCUCAUGAGGAGCAAAUCACAUAAUUCUUCUUGGUUUCUAACUAUGUAAAUAUAAAAUGUAAACAGAUAUGUGCACAGAAAUUUUGUGAUAUCACAUAAGGGUGUGUGCACCCCUAGUUAAAAGUAAGUUAAAAUGGACAUUAUAAAAAACAAAAAGGGUUUCAUAAGGUUUACACAAUUAUAAACUAUACCUUUAUUUUUAAAAAAUAUUUAUUUAGUUGUAGAUGAACACACAGUAUCUUUAUGCAUUUUAAUGUGGUGCUAAGGAUUGAACCCAGUGCCUCACACAUGCAAGGCAAGCACUUUACCACUGAGCUACAGCAUCGGCCCCUACCUUAAUUCUUUUUUUUUAAGUUGUUUAUUUAUUUAUUUAUUUAUAUGUGGUACUGAGGAUCGAACCCAGUGCCUCACACAUGCCAGGCAGGCGCUGUACCACUGAGCCACAACCCCAAUCCCCUACCUUUAUUCUUAAUGUAUAUUUUCCCAGAUAUUUGGAUAAUCUAUAGUCCUUAAUUCAUAGAAUAAUUAAAAUGUCUAUUUGUUUAAUUAUUAUGUGUUUGUUUGCUUCUAAUCAUUUUCCUUCAACAGAAAACACAUAAUUUAUAUAUUUCUUAUACAUGCAUUUACUUAUACUCUGCCUUUUAGUUACAGAUAUUUGAGAUAAAUGUAUUUUACUAUAAAAAUUUUUUCUUUCAAGAGAUAAUACAACCAUCAAGUAAUUUCUAAUUCUCAAAUUAUGGUACAACCUUUUUUAAGAUGAUAAACAAAUAUGAUUCUGUCUACAGAAAUAUCCAAGGGCUUUAACUAUAUUUUCGUUGAGCUAUUUCUUCUUAUUAAGGUACAAUUAUUUAUAUUCUAAGAUUUACUGGAAUUAUUCCAAAUAUAGCCCAGGAAAAAUUCUAGAAGGAGAACAACAUGCUUCAACAGAUAGGAAACACAUUGGAGGUCCUAAGAAGAAGAAGAAAUCAUCUUUGGGUACAACAAGGUCUUUAUAUUUUAGAUUUUAAUGAUAAAAAUUUCCUAAAUAAGGAAAUUCUUAUGUCAUUAUCUAUACACAUAAUAUAGAAAGUUAAAAAAAAUGAGAGACAGAUUUAUGUAUAACUGGACUGACUGUAAAUAUAGACUAAUCAAUUCUAGGAUAUUUCAGGCUAUUACCCUGAUCUUAUUAUGCUGAUGUGAACUAAGAUUUUGUCCAUAUUUUGACUCAAUAAAGACCUAUAUAAUGUUAAGUUUA
rnacentral:lncRNA from 1 species